rnacentral:misc_RNA from 1 species
CGCAUCUUGCGCCCAUUGGUAUUCCUUUGGGCAUGUCUGUUUGAGUGUCGCGAUCUUCUCAAUUAUCCCCUUUUGUAAUGAAAGCGCUGGACGAUUGGUUGUAUGGCCAAUUUGCUAGUGUUGUAGAACUAGCUUGGCUGAAAUGAAAUAGCAUUAAAACCUCAUGUUUACAAAUGCGUUGAACUCGGCGUAGUAUCAUCUUCGUCGACGAAAACAGUCAGUUCGUAACGUGAAGUGUGCUUCUAGAAUAGGCAUUUAUUUGCGCUCUUUACUUCAGACCUCAAAUCAGAUAGGAUUACCCGCUGAACUUAA